GAGUUUGAUCAUGGCUCAGAUUGAACGCUGGCGGCAGGCCUAAGACAUGCAGGGCGAACGAACUAUUGGGGCUUGCUCUAAUAGUUAGUGGCGAACGGGUGAGUAAUGCCUAGGAAUCUGCCUUAUAGUGGGGGAUAACGUUUCGAAAGGAACGCUAAUACCGCAUACGUCCUACGGGAGAAAGGGGGCAUUUAUGCUCUCGCUAUUAGAUGAGCCUAGGUCAGAUUAGCUAGUUGGUAGGGUAAAGGCCUACCAAGGCUACGAUCUGUAGCGGGUCUGAGAGGAUGAUCCGCCACACUGGAACUGAGACACGGUCCAGACUCCUA
rnacentral:rRNA from 1 species